rnacentral:tRNA from 1 species
GACCGCGUAGCUCAGUUGGAAGAGCAUUGGACUAGUAUUCCAAAGGUCGUAGGUUCGUAUCCCACCGUGGCCG